GAGUAUAUCUCAGUGAUAGAGCACUUGCUUAGCAUGUGUGAGACUCUGGGUUCAAUCCCCAGUAUUGCA
rnacentral:tRNA from 1 species